GAUGAAGAACGUAGCGAAAUGCGAUAAGUAAUGUGAAUUGCAGAAUUCAGUGAAUCAUCGAAUCUUUGAACGCACAUUGCGCCCGCCAGUAUUCUGGCGGGCAUGCCUGUCCGAGCGUCAUUUCAACCCUCGAACCCCUCCGGGGGGUCGGCGUUGGGGAUCGGCCCUUUACGGGGCCGGCCCCGAAAUACAGUGGCGGUCUCGCCGCAGCCUCUCCUGCGCAGUAGUUUGCACACUCGCAUCGGGAGCGCGGCGCGUCCACAGCCGUUAAACACCCCAAACUUCUGAAAUGUUGACCUCGGAUCAGGUAGGAAUACCCGCUGAACUUAAGCAUAUCAAUAAGCGGAGA
rnacentral:misc_RNA from 1 species